UUCGCGUAGUAGGCUUGUGCGGAUAGGCCUUGUGGACCUGAGGCCUACAGGAAGUAGACAUGCAUGUGCGGCAGUAGGUCUGCAAUGCACCAAUCGGGCACUACCACCUCGGGCAGUGCGCCGUCACUACCUUAGGCAGAGCGCCACCGCCACCGGUGGAGGAAAUAUUUCUCCUUCGUUUUUUGCACAAAGAAUAUUUUUUUCCU
rnacentral:lncRNA from 1 species